GCGCGCGCUGGGCGACUUCGAUUUCGACGACAAUCCCAGGUCGAUGUCCGUACUCUCACGUCCGUCCGCGAGUUGUCGCGCGGUCCACCAGGGAGAGGUGGCAAGCAGACUGUCCAACUGGCUGGUACUGCAUCGUUAUAGAGGACCGCUGGUCCGAGCCGCUACCAGGGAGGAGGCUGUUGACACUCAUCAGCUCUGGUCGGGCCACUGGGGAUGAUCGGAGCAGUAUCUUCACCGGAUUGAGAGGAGAUCAAUGUCCGAGUUCGCCUAAUGUAACGACAAUGAAUGCCAAGCUGGCCGCUGCCUGGUCUGCGGUGAAGCAGUGGACACCUAAGCGCACGUGUUGCCGGAGUGUCCGUGCUUUUACGGCCCUCGGCUGUGUGCGCUAUGGAACAUCGUCGGCGCGGCCCUCGAUGUCAAGCGCGACGACGUGGUGGUGACCUUAGCCGCCGGCUACGAGGCCCACAAGAGGCUUGUAUUGGCUACGGCGGUAGCUGUGGGGACACAGCAACAACGACAUCAACAGCUGGCGGCGGAAGUGGCCCCGGAGCUACGCACCUGCGGACAGAGCUACCGCUGAUCCACAUCUCAGCUGAUGAUGCUCAACAGACGGAGAGACUGAGGCGCUGGACAGCGAGUCUGUCUGUGGUUGUGCUGAAGACGGCGUCGGACGACCAUCAGUUCCGGCUGGCGAAUCUAGCCAGCUCCGACCCCGUCCAGCUGCCCGACGAGUGCUUACCAAAACAGCCGCUCGCUGCUGCCGUGCGCCAAGAUGGCCGUCCACCGCCACCGAUGCCGCCACUCGCUCGCCAAGACGCCCGUCCAUUGGUGCCACCGCCCCACGCCCACUUGCGCUCUGCCACCGUUGACUGCGGCUAGCCGAGAUUCAGGUUCAAGGUUUAGGCAUACCUACAUUAAUGUUAAUUGCCUAUAUUCAUCGAAGCGAAGGUGUGGUGACAAAGAUGCCUAUGGUGGUGAAAUACGGUGUACGCAGCUCCUGGUGAUGUUUUUAUUGCCCUUAGCUUGCCAUCCAAUACCUAUCAUCAUUUGAUCAUGUAUGCUGACUUGAGUGGCUGAUAUUUGAUAAUAUAUAGCAUGAAGUGUU
rnacentral:misc_RNA from 1 species